AGGGGGUACUACAGACACUGUUGAACUCAAUUUUCGCCUUUUUAGGUUAGUCCUAUUUUAACAUCGGAAGGUCGAGGAAAGCCGGGAUUGGAGAAGUGCUCAGACGUCGCCACAGGCACAGCCCUCGCAGGCCAAGCUGAGAUCGAGCCCAGGACUCAGGCUCCAACACAAGCAGGCUGACUCUCAGGUCUGCCGGCCACUGGAAGUCCUCCUGUUUCAUUUGAUAUGGACCCUCAAGCAGAACAGAAGGGGACUGUCACUUAAGGUAAGAAUUCCCAAUCCUCUGACCCAGAUUGGGUGACAGGAUCACCUAGGACCAGUCAUCUGAGCCUGGGAGUGGGGUCACAGGAUAAGAACUGGGCCCCCAGGAGCUCAAACCCAGAGGUGGUUAAAGGGUGGACAAGGCAGAUCUUAGAGGGGGGUGACCAGGAGGCCUCCGGGAAAAACUGUGAAGUCAACAAAGUACUUGUCC
rnacentral:lncRNA from 1 species